AAUGGGCGAAAGCCUGAUGCAGCGACGCCGCGUGAGCGAUGAAGGCCUUCGGGUUGUAAAGCUCUGUGGGGAGGGACGAAUAAGUGCUGGCUAAUAUCCAGUGCGAUGACGGUACCUCCUUAGCAAGCACCGGCUAACUCUGUGCCAGCAGCCGCGGUAAGACAGAGGGUGCAAACGUUGUUCGGAAUCACUGGGCGUAAAGCGCGUGUAGGCGGCUAUGUAAGUCGGACGUGAAAGCCCACGGCUCAACCGUGGAAGUGCGCUCGAAACUGCGUAGCUUGAGUCUUGGAGAGGAAGGCGGAAUACUUGGUGUAGAGGUGAAAUUCGUAGAUAUCAGGUAGAACACCAGUGGCGAAGGCGGCCUUCUGGACAAUGACUGACGCUGAGACGCGAAAGCGUGGGGAGCAAA
rnacentral:rRNA from 1 species